CUUGUAGAUUUGAGGAAGAUUAAACUGAAGAGAAGCUCAACAUCAGUUUACCUGCGUUCACCCUGCUUCUUCCCUAUGCUCUGGGAAGCAGAAGCCGCCGCCAUUUCGGCUUUACCGCCGCCAUUUUGACUUCACCUCAAUCACGAGACGUCAGUAUCUCUCAGCAAACACUGACCUAUUGUGUCUACCAAGGGUCUUCAAAUGGCGUGUCUUUCCCUCCAGUGGACAAAGCAAAGCCCACACAGACACGCUUAGUUGAUUUUGGUGUGGAAGAAGCCCAUCAAUCACCAUGCCAGCCAGGUCCUCUCUCUUGUCCAACGUAGGUGAUGAAAAUUCCCAAAGGCGCACUUCCAACAUCAUGAAGUCCCCUCCAAAGUUGUCACAGCAGCAAAAGGGGGUGACCAACUGCACUUCUGCUUCCAUUUUCACUCGCUGCAGGUGUAAUGGGCCAGGUGUCCCUGUUUCGCUUGUGAAU